rnacentral:rRNA from 1 species
AAACGACUCUCGGCAACGGAUAUCCCGGCUCUCGCAUCGAUGAAGAACGUAGCGAAAUGCGAUACUUGGUGUGAAUUGCAGAAUCCCGUGAACCAUCGAGUCUUUGAACGCAAGUUGCGCCCGAAGCCRUUAGGCUGAGGGCACGUCUGCCUGGGUGUCACGC